rfam:Equus caballus chromosome 23, whole genome shotgun sequence.
AGAUGUGUGGGUGAUCUGGCUGCAACAUCUGUCACCCCACUGAGUACCUGGGUUGGAUUUGGGUGAUCUGACUGGUUAGGCAGGUGUCCCCUUUCUCCCUCACCACUCCAUGUGCAUUCCUCCCUAAACUACACUCUUGGUUGAAGAGGAAUACUUUCCCCCACUGAGGAGGACCAUUCUUCAGUCAAGGGUGUACAAGCAGUUGCGCUCCCCUUCUAGAACCUCCAAACAAGCUUUCAAGGUCAUUUGUAGGAGAAUGUAGGGUAGUCAAGCUUCCAAGACUGCAGACAUGUCCAAAUGAGGUGCUGCAUGUGGCAAUCUCCCUUAAAAA